GGCGGUGUAGCUCAGCUGGCGAGAGCGUACGGUUCAUACCCGUAAGGUCGGGGGUUCGAUCCCCUCCGCCGCUACCA
rnacentral:tRNA from 3 species